GAGCGUUCUGUAAGCCUGUGAAGGUGUACUGUGAGGUAUGCUGGAGGUAUCAGAAGUGCGAAUGCUGACAUAAGUAACGAUAAAGCGGGUGAAAAGCCCGCUCGCCGGAAGACCAAGGGUUCCUGUCCAACGUUAAUCGGGGCAGGGUGAGUCGACCCCUAAGGCGAGGCCGAAAGGCGUAGUCGAUGGGAAACAGGUUAAUAUUCCUGUACUUGGUGUUACUGCGAAGGGGGGACGGAGAAGGCUAUGUUGGCCGGGCGACGGUUGUCCCGGUUUAAGCGUGUAGGCUGGUUUUCCAGGCAAAUCCGGAAAAUCAAGGCUGAGGCGUGAUGACGAGGCACUACGGUGCUGAAGCAACAAAUGCCCUGCUUCCAGGAAAAGCCUCUAAGCAUCAGGUAACAUCAAAUCGUACCCCAAACCGACACAGGUGGUCAGGUAGAGAAUACCAAGGCGCUUGAGAGAACUCGGGUGAAGGAACUAGGCAAAAUGGUGCCGUAACUUCGGGAGAAGGCACGCUGAUAUGUAGGUGAAGUCCCUCGCGGAUGGAGCUGAAAUCAGUCGAAGAUACCAGCUGGCUGCAACUGUUUAUUAAAAACACAGCACUGUGCAAACACGAAAGUGGACGUAUACGGUGUGACGCCUGCCCGGUGC
rnacentral:rRNA from 1 species